GACGAACGCUGGCGGCGUGCUUAACACAUGCAAGUCGAACGGUAAGGCCCUUCGGGGUACACGAGUGGCGAACGGGUGAGUAACACGUGGGUGAUCUGCCCUGCACUUCGGGAUAAGCCUGGGAAACUGGGUCUAAUACCGGAUAGGACCACUGCCUGCAGGGGCGGUGGUGGAAAGCCUUUGUGGUGUGGGAUGGGCCCGCGGCCUAUCAGCUUGUUGGUGGGGUGAUGGCCUACCAAGGCGACGACGGGUAGCCGGCCUGAGAGGGUGACCGGCCACACUGGGACUGAGAUACGGCCCAGACUCCUACGGGAGGCAGCAGUGGGGAAUAUUGCACAAUGGGCGCAAGCCUGAUGCAGCGACGCCGCGUGAGGGAUGACGGCCUUCGGGUUGUAAACCUCUUUCAGCACCGACGAAGCGCAAGUGACGGUAGGUGCAGAAGAAGGACCGGCCAACUACGUGCCAGCAGCCGCCGUAAUAC
rnacentral:rRNA from 1 species